rnacentral:lncRNA from 1 species
AGGCUCGGUAUAUCAUAUCCUGAGCUAACAGAAAUGCAAGCCCGUGCCAUCUUUGAAGCUGCUAUAGCGAUGACCAACCAGGGUGUUCAAGUUUUCCCAGAGAUAAUGGUUCCUCUUGUUGGGACACCUCAGGCAUGCAUCUUUAUUUCCUUAUUUGUGCAUAUGGUAUCUCUGCAGUUCAUGGUGUUCAAAAUGACAAAAUCAAAAUUGAAUAAACAACCAAGUUCUGUACACAUGUAAUUUACGAUUUUAUGCAAACAUCAAGUUGACCUACACCCAAUUUCCCACCAAAUUCAUUUCUUGAAAUUUUCUCUCUCGAAUUCUAAGUUUAUUGCUUUCACUUGAUUUUUCCUUCAGACAUCUGACAUUUGACUUUUGCAGGAACUGGGGAAUCAAGUGGCCCUUAUCCGUGAAACUGCUAACAAAGUUUUCGCUGCUCUGGGUAAAACCAUUGACUACAAAAUUGGAACUAUGAUUGAAAUUCCGAGGGCAGCUCUAGUAGCUGAUGAGGUAGGAAGCAUCUAACUCCCUUCAGAAUAAUCUUAAAUAUUGCUGUUUAGGUUUAGCUUUUAGAUCAUAUUUUUCAUGAAUGGUUUAGUAAUAGAACCCCGGAUUUUUACUCUAAAACAUGUGAAUAGUAACUGAUGGUAUGAAUUUAUUAAGUGCAAAUAAUAAGUUUAUCCUCUAAUUUAAAAAAAAAACUGACAUUCUUGUUUUGGUUUCACAACCUGACAGAUAGCAGAGCAGGCUGAAUUCUUCUCUUUUGGAACGAACGACCUCACACAGAUGACAUUUGGCUACAGCAGGGAUGAUGUGGGGAAGUUUCUUCCCAUUUAUCUGUCUCAGGGUAUCCUCCAACAUGAUCCCUUUGAGGUAAAAUUUUAGCAGCUCUCACCCUUCAGUUUUAGAUGAUAUACCUGCAUUUUCAUCAUCCACUCUUGUUUUUCAAGGAAUAUUUCCAUCAUCCACAGAUGCGAGCAUCUCAUGUCCUCUAGGCAUUUUUCAUGUCCUUGACUUUUGGUUACGUGCAUGCUCUGGUAAAAUUCAACCUAGUAACUUGCCCAUUGAAUGUUGAUAAACAUAUCAGGUGCUGGAUCAGAGGGGAGUGGGCGAGCUGGUUAAGUUUGCUACAGAGAGGGGUCGCAAAGCUAGGCCUAACUUGAAGGUUAGUUUUUGGGACUUGUGGACAUUGGCUCUUUUCCUUAGAAAUCAUGGUUUCAUUGUUUGGUGCUGUCUGCAAACAGGUGGGCAUCUGUGGAGAACACGGUGGGGAGCCUUCGUCAGUUGCAUUCUUUGCAAAGUCGGGGCUGGAUUAUGUUUCUUGCUCGCCUUUCAGGUUGGUCAAGUGAUAAACUCAAGAUACAACUCCCAGAUUCAUAACUGUAGCAAAACCUUAACUACUUUUUAUGAAAUAUCUUGUGCAGGGUUCCCAUCGCCAGGCUAGCUGCAGCUCAGGUGCUCGUCUGAGGGCACCGCCUCAUCGGCAACCGGAUCACCUGCUGUUGGUGCGUCUGGUGAAGAAUACUAAUACAAAGCCAUGGAACGGUGGAACUCUGCUGCCUGGCAAAGGCCGUUGUAUCUUGUAUGAAGUCUCCGUGCGCGUGCGCAUGUAAGACUUAAUGUGUGGUUUUCUGCAUUUUCCCUUGAACUACCAUGGUAAUGUAGUACCAAACAGAGAUGAUGACGAAGAACAAUCGAAUAAAUUAAUUGGCGAUUAC